rnacentral:misc_RNA from 1 species
CACGGAACCGAUCGCGAGCGUGGAGAUUCCGGUCACCGCCUGACCGAUCGUGCAGCCCAUCGCGAGCACGCCGCCGAUACCCAUCAUCGCGCCGCCCAGCACGUGGUUGCCGAAAUCCUUGAAAGUGACGAAGCGCUCGUAACGGAAGUCUCUCGUGAAGAGCGAGUAGAGCAACGCGCCCAGGAUCACGCCGGACAGCGCCAUCACGCCGAAAUUGAUCAGCGAAAAAUUGGCCGGAU